GGCAGGCCCCUUCUGCCGGGUCUUUACGUCUUAAAGAUGACUCGUUCACUGAUAGAAAUUAUUGAAGGAUGAAGCUCAAAUCUAAGUUUCUGAUCGUGCUUGAUAUGUCGUCUAUAUAUUCAGAAUGUAUAUGACAUGUCGGUUCUAGAGCCUCUGUGAGAUGUAUGACAUUUGCAAUAAGUGAUGCACAUGCUGCUCGCCUCAACAAAGAGCAAAUAAACUUCUAGGAGAAGUUAAGUGGAGGUGUUUGGAGGUUAUUCAGUGAUCUCAAGCAGACUACCUCGAUUAAGAGGUAAUUCGGUGACCUCGAUCAUACCAACUUGAUUAUGAAGUAAUUUUAGUUAUCAACUACACUGAGAGGUGAUUCUUUUAACCUCGAGCAAAUCUCCUCAACACGUGAGUUACUUACUUGUUACAAUUGCUAGUAUUAUCAUUUUGAAGGUCAGAUUGAAUGAAAGUUUUGCACAUGUCUUACAGCUAUUCAAGAGGUUGUUAUCAGCAGGAACUUUCUGGGUUUUGUAACAAACUCAGAACCAUACUUGAGCUGGC
rnacentral:lncRNA from 1 species